UGGGACACACCAGGCCAGCCGUGAGGGAGAUAGGGCCCCUCGGGGAAGCUCAGAGACGCUGGACCGUCGUCCAAAGUGACAACACAGGGUAACAAGAGUUGUGAUGGUCAAAGUGAGAGCACCGGUCCCUCCUUGGGAGGGUCACGGGAUGCCUUCCAGAAGGACCCCUCCUUCACACAACUCUAAGGAAGGAGGAAAGAAAGGUGGGAUGCGACGGUUCUGAAGACUGACGAUGCAAAGUUCCUAUCCGAAGGAGCUUCUGGACAGUAGAGUUGAGAAAGAGUGUCUACCUGCAUCCACGUAUCUGGUUAUAGGAUCUCCCCAGAGGAGGAACCUCAUAGAAUACAAACAAAACAAACAACUCUGGCUCGAAGUCACAGAAUGAGAAGAGGAGACAGCAAAGAAAGACUCCGUAAGAAGGACCUUACCAGGUACUGUUAACAACUAAACACAACAGUAAACUCGUGCCUCCCGAGUCAAAAGACGUAAGCCACAGGAAACCACCGGGAAGCUGUCCUGAGACCUCAAUCGGUGCCAUGUGAGGGAUGGUUCCAAAACAGACAAGGGCAGGAAGCUGCACCUUCCCUCCAAGACCACUGGGACCAGGCUGGUAACUGCAGGAAGUGCCACCUUCCCUCAAGACCCACCAGACAAGACCGCCAGAGCUACCCAGGAGGGUGCUUUAAUCUGCAUGUGCUUUUGCUCUUUUUCUCUCCUCUCUGUCAAGUUAAGGUUUAAACUGUUGAUGCUUCUUAGCUAUUAACCACGAUACCUCCAAGGUCUUUCAUACUGUUAUUCAGUUGUUCGUAUUUUACCUCAGUCCCUCCUCAGUUGGAGAGUCCAGGGCCAGGCUGCAACUUACUCACCAUUUGGCUACAACAUGCGAUUACACAGUAUGCUGGCUUUGUACUCACCUGCCUUUCGGGGCCAUCCAGCUUUCUUUGCUGUCAGUGUCAUAGAAUUAAUCAAAUUACUUCCUAGGUGAUAAGACUCAACCGAGAAGUGAUCUGGGGAUUAAAAAUAGUUUAACAGGUCAAACAACCAGAAUUCUAGAACCUCCUAUCACGUCAUACAUAGAAGGGAAUUGGGGGGUCCUAAACAAAAAAUGCUCAGAAACCUUUUGUUUAGCUUUCCCUUUUUGUUAGCUUUUCCACGUAAACUUUCACAAAAGGAAAGCCAGUGGUGAGGGUAAAAUGAGGGACAAAGAAGUGUUUUGAGAAAAUGGGACCCAAUGAGAGGAAAAGAGAUGGUAAGAGUUCACUGAGGGAAGAAGGCCCCCAACGGGUACUCAAGCAAGAAAGCAACUGAGGUGAAUAUGCCUCUGGAGAGUCCGCAGAGAAUAUAGAAGGCGGCGGUAUGGAGUCUGCAGACGGUCUAGAACGAGGGCAUCUGUAGAAUCCAGUGAGAAAGUAGAAACCAAAAGUACAGGGACUGAGGGGUCCAUUAUAGGUCUUCAGAAGGUCCGUGAGAGGCUGAAGGCAGAUUGAUCUAAGCCCCUCAGAGGAAUGGUGGGAGCCAUAGGGCAGUGAGGCAACAGCAUCUUCCACAGACUCCCAAACAGCAGAAUGUCAGCUUCCAUGGCCACUAUAUCACACAACUCACAGUGGGGAUCUUGAUAAAAGUGCUGCCACAGACUGCCUGUAAUUGGGACCUUGUCCAAGUGGCUGCAGAAGACAAGAGGAGUAAGCUAAGGUCAGUGAGCUGGGAUGGGGCCUGGCAGAGCUAGAAACACUGUGUUCCCCCCACUUCCCAGACUUCACAGUGUUUCCCUCAUUCCUCACACCAAGGCUUUCUUUCACAUUCCCUUCCCUCCAGGCUUCCGAGCCGACGUCAACCGCAGGCUGCACUGGGCCCUGCCACUGCAUAAGUCAUCCUAGGAAGGGGGACCCCAGGAAAGAGGAGAGAGAGAGAGUCCUCUCCUCUGUUCCCCAGGAAAGCUUGUCCUGUGCUCCAUCAGAUUCUUCCAGAUUCUCCAAUCUGAGAAUCCAAGCUUGGUUUACUUGUGGUAAAAAGAGGAACUAAGUGAUAUUUUAGGAGUCUUUGUGGAAUGAUACCUUGGGGCAGACUCUUGGAAGACUAAGACUCUGAAAGCAGGAAAAUUAUUACACAAGGUAAAAUUGUCCAUGACAAGAAUGGGAAGUCUCUUCCCAGACAUUCUCUCGUGCGAUCCUCACAACAACCCUGUGAGGUAUGGAGACCAGGUGACACCUCAGAGGAGGAGCCUGAAUCUUGUGGAGGUCAGGACCUUGGAGUUCUGCCCCCAACACAAAAAGUGGUUUCAAUAGAUCUUACAUGACUGUCCCCCACCCCCAACCCCCACCAAGAGCUCUGUUUUCUAAUAGGGACUUGCUCUUGGAACUGCCAUCCUCAGAGACUGUGGACCUGGGUCCUCACGGAAACGUGAGAUUAAGGUUAAACCUUGGGCAUCCCACAGCUGACUGGACAAAACCUUGCCUUUUAGCGCUAGUUUUGUUCCUCUUUUUGACUCUGCACUGAUCUUAAAAGACUAGAGUGAGUGGCUAGGACCAAAUUUUCACCCUCCUCUCUCUAGGCUAGCUGCAAAAUUCAUCAUUCAUUAUUCAUGGAUAACCUGAUUUUCUAUAUUGAAUUAGGAGAGCUCUGGGAUCCAUCCCUGUUACUCACUUUAAAGUGGGUGAAAUAAUUGCCACUUCUCAAAAAUUUCAAGGAGGGUUUUCUAUAUGCCAUGCUCAAUUGAUUUUUCAGCCUAUCCUCUUCAGACGAGAGACACAAAUUUCCCAGAACAGCAAGCUCAUGUGUACUCCUUCAUAUAAUACCUGACCUUGAUGACAGAACUUGGGCUCUAGCAUCUGAUUCGAGGCUUUCAAAGACUGGCAGCAUUGUUCUUCCUAUCAGCCCUAACACAAAGGGAAACCUUGGCCCAGAAAUAGACCUGAGUUGGGAGCAUGACUGAUGAAUAGAGUUGAGGGACUCCGUCCUACAGGUAUCCGCAAUUUUCUUAAUGAUCCAGUCUAUGACUGGUGACUCACUGUUGUCAGGGUUCUAUUAUGGAGCCCUCUACCACACCCAAAAAGAGGGUCUAUGAGCUUCGAAUAUAAACUCUAGUUCCCCCUGUAACCCUUGCCCUGUGCCCUUCAGUGAAUUCUAGUCUUUCCUGAAAAUUUCCAUCUCCGGUGGCUCUCUGUAGCAAAAUAAUUGACCUAGGAAAGUAGGAAGAGGAAAAGGUUCAUUGCUGCUGGGUCUGUCCCUAAGGUUCCUUUGCCAAAUUGAUGUGUCUGUUUUUCCUAAAUGUUGGUAAAUUUUGAUGCCUCUGUAAAUAGCAGAGGAACAGAAAAGGAAACCCAUACUCACAGAAAAUAUAAAAUGAGACUAGUGCCCUGAAGCUCAUGAGAAGCAUCUAAAAGCAAUUACUCUGAAGUGCAUAGAAGCCUCACCUAAUGCUGAGAAUAUGCACCGUGGCUAGAGUUCUAAGUCCCCGUCAUGGAGUUAGGGGACAGUGACACUGUUUUUGAGGUUGGAGAGGGUUCUUAAAGAGGAAGGUGAACCCACAAUCCCUCCCCACAGCAUCCAGGCUAGUAGAUCCCUUCAUCAUUCCUGGGGCCUUCUAGAUCCUUCUAUCCUUCUCUGGGCCUUAGCAUUUUCCCAAUUCCACCCUUUCUUCAUAUCCUAGACACACUCAUACCUCCUACAAUUCAAAUACUAGCUGGGUCAUUCCCAUCGGUCAUCUCAGCUUGGAUCCUACCAAUUAUACAGCCUUUGAAAAUCUCAAGUUCUUUCAGGAGUUUCUGCUAAUUCCUGAGGAUUUGAAUUCUCAGGAUUUUCUGUUUCCACUUCCAGAUUCCCACCCAGCGUUAAUCCAGACAUAGGCUACAGCUCUGCCUUCAUGAAAGAGUCCACUUCCACAUAAAAGCAUUAGUGAGCAAUGUAGCCGUCACAAAAUGAUGCUGAUGAAGAGGACUGGGGCAGACCUCACCCCUGGCAAACAACUUUAAAAUCCCCACCUACUGAAUUAAGCGCUGACUUCUUUCCUUACCUGAAGUAGUCUUAGCCUGGGACACCCAGUCCUUUCUCACCCAAAUGAUGAAGCUUUGCCAGAACUGACAGCAAAAAAAAAAAAAAAGCAUGAAGGAUAGAUCCUCAGUUAACAUGGCUACUGGGAUAUUGUUGCCUUUAGGUUCUUUCAGUGAACAGAGGAAGUAAAAAUACCUAAACCUUGAGUUGAUAUUAAUAUGUCAAAUUUAACACAGGAUUUUUAUUUUUUAUAUGUAUCUCCUUUCUCUCACAAUGAAAAAAGUUUGGAUCUUAACAUGUUCAUUUGUUCUUUUUGAAUAUAUAAAAUUAUAUAUUUCAAAAUUAUACCACAAA